UAAAAAGUAACAAAUCUAAUAAAAAAAUUAAAAUGAAACAAAAUUAAAAAAAAAAUUACCAUUAAUCACAACAAACAAGCAAUAGAAUUAAUCUAAUUAGUAAAGAUUGGGGCUCCCCUUCCUUAUUAAAUAGAAUUUGACUGUAUUGGAAGCACUACAUGAUUACUUAUCUUGAAUGCACCAAGCAAAUAUAGGAGAGUGCACUCUUAAGAUCACCCAAGAAGAAAAUCUCAUCUUACUAUGUGAAAGUUGAGUUGAAGAUUCCCCUUAAUCAAAUCAAAUCAACCCACUAGAACAAUCCUGUCCACCCAAGAACACUAGGAAAAACAGAGAAAAACCAAAAUUGCAGACGCUGCUGACCACCACCUUUGCUCACCAUCACUGGAGAAGUUGAAUUUGAGAUUGAACCCAGUUAAUAUGACCAGCAUUCCAAGGAGCACCAAACAUUGCCAAGCUCAAACUGUCCAUUUUCUAAACCAAAUAUGCAACACAGCUCAAUUGAACGAAGAAGGAUGCCGCAGAGCUCACUGACCAUCAACGAUCAAUAGAAUGACCUCCCUAACUGUAGUGUAGGAACAAGUCCUAUAGUUAUUGAAUAGCCAAAGCAUGGACUAUCACUCUAUCGACGUUGAGCACCCAAAUUGACUCAAGAAUAGACAUUAAAUAGCUGCACAAGUAUAAGCAACAAAUACCCAUAUCCAUGAAUUUAAAACCAACAAACCUAGGAAACAAACCAACCUAAACCCAUGAAGAACAACUUCCUCUUUGUAGAUCAUCGCUAGAAAACCUCACCAAGACAAUUUAGAUAUGCAACAUACCUUUAAAAAUAAAACUCUACAAAACCAAAUCAGGGUGGGGAAGGAACCGAAGCUUAGUUGGUGAUAUCGCUCUCCAUCUCCUACCCUUCAAAACACUAAAAUAAAUUUGACUAAUUCCUAGAGAAAACUUGAGAAAAGAUUCAAGAGAAAUUUCUCUCUCUAGAUUUCUUGAGGGAGUUAGCUGUGUUAUAGAUUUCACUUUUCAAUCAAAAGCCCAUGGCAUUGCUC
rnacentral:misc_RNA from 1 species